ensembl:snRNA U6 U6 spliceosomal RNA
GUGCUCACUUCAGCAGCAUAUAUACUAAAAUUGAAACAAUACAGAAAAGAUUAGCAUGGUCCCUGCACAAAGAUGAUAUGCAAAUUCAUAAAUCGUUCCAUAGUUUU